rnacentral:rRNA from 1 species
UGGGGAAUCUUGCGCAAUGGGCGAAAGCCUGACGCAGCGACGCCGCGUGAGUGAUGAAGGCCUUCGGGUUGUAAAGCUCUGUGGGGAGAGAAGAAUAAGUGCGGGCUAAUACUCCGCAUGAUGACGGUAUCUCCUUAGCAAGCACCGGCUAACUCUGUGCCAGCAGCCGCGGUAAGACAGAGGGUGCAAACGUUGUUCGGAAUUACUGGGCGUAAAGCGAGUGUAGGCGGUUUGGUAAGUCGGAUGUGAAAGCCCCGGGCUCAACCCGGGAAGUGCACUCGAUACUGCCAAGCUAGAGUAUCGGAGAGGUUGGUGGAAUUCUCGGUGUAGAGGUGAAAUUCGUAGAUAUCGAGAGGAACACCGGUGGCGAAGGCGGCCAACUGGACGAAUACUGACGCUGAGGCGCGAAAGCAUGGGGAGCAAACAGGAUUAGAUACCCCAGUAGUCCCUGAGCGGGCUGGCAAGGCGCAU